rnacentral:rRNA from 1 species
UUAUACAGCGAAACUGCGAAUGGCUCAUUAUAUAAGUUAUCGUUUAUUUGAUAGCACCUUACUACUUGGAUAACCGUGGUAAUUCUAGAGCUAAUACAUGCUAAAAAUCCCGACUUCGGAAGGGAUGUAUUUAUUAGAUUAAAAACCAAUGCCUUUUGGCUUUUUGGUGAUUCAUGAUAACUUCUCGAAUCGCAUGGCCUUGCGCCGGCGAUGGUUCAUUCAAAUUUCUUCCCUAUCAACUUUCGAUGCGAAGGUCUUGUCUUCGCAUGGUUACAACGGGUAACGGAGGGUUAGGGCUCGACCCCGGAGAGGGAGCCUGAGAAAUGGCUACCACUUUUAAGGAAGGCAGCAGGCGCGCAAAUUACCCAAUCCCGACACGGGGAGGUAGUGACAAUAAAUACUGAUACAGGGCUCUUAUGGGUCUUGUAAUCGGAAUGAGUACAAUUUAAAUCCCUUAACGAGGAACAAUUGGAGGGCAAGUCUGGUGCCAGCAGCCGCGGUAAUUCCAGCUCCAAUAGCGUAUAUUAAAGUUGUUGUGGUUAAAAAGCUCGUAGUUGAACCUUGGGCCUGGCUGGCCGGUCCCCCUCACCGGGUGCACUGGUCCGGCCGGGUCUUUCCCUCUAUGGAACCUCAUGCUCUUUACUGAGUGUGACGGGGAAAUAGGACUUUUACUUUGAAAAAAUUAGAGUGCUCCAGGCAGGCCUAUGCUCGAAUAGUACAGCAUGGAAUAAUAGAAUAGGACGUGUGGUUCUAUUUUGUUGGUUUCUAGGACCGCCGUAAUGAUUAAUAGGGACAGUCGGGGGCAUCAGUAUUCAGCUGUCAGAGGUGAAA